GGGGGGGGCCGCCCGCAGGGGCCGCUCGCAGCACCCUCGGGGGGCGCCGAGGACGCCGCCCUGCUGGCGCCCGAGCCGGGCGAGAGGGCGGCAGGCGGCGCUGGGGGUGGGCGCUGCCGCCGGCAGAGGACUUGGUGCUGGGUCGUGCUGGGAAAGCGGCUUUUUCUUCUCGCUGCCGCCCUGUGUGGGCAGCCUAAAAGGCUUGUGGAUGGAAAUCUCUUCUUUCACAUCUUCUGCACUGAUGUCAGAGCAGCCUAGUCCAGUCUGCCAUUUUAUGGUUCCUGCCACCAGCUCUCUACAACAGUGCAACAUUCCAGUUUUUAAUACCUACCACUGCCUGUGUUAGUGGACCAUCCAAAUGGCUGUAAACCUGCAGAAAAGAUACAGAACGUGGUCUCAAACUGGAUUGGAGCAGUCUUGUUGACUUUUUUCUAUUUAUGUUUUUUUAUUCUUGUAUUUGACUUAAAGUGCCAUGAGAAAAUUUGCAUAUUGCAAGGUGGUCCUUGCCACCUCAUUGGUUUGGGUCCUUCUGGAUAUGUUUCUACUGCUUUACUUCAGUGAAUGCAACAAAUGUGAUGAGAAAAAAGAGCGAGGACUACCUGCUGGAGAUGGUGAGUGAAUAAUAUCUGUAAAUCAUAAUUUGGUUUAAAUAAUCAUAAUGGAAAAGUUUCCUAUUUAAUGAUUUUAUGGUAGCACAAGAUAUGACUUAUGAAGGUUUUUGUUUAAGACUUGUGGUAUUCUGAAGACAAAUAUAAAACUUUUUAAGAUGUGGGUUUGGGGAAAAAAUGCUAUGCUGUGGGCUGUUUAGAAAGGUAAAAUAGUUAAGAAAGUAGCUUAUCCUGAGAUACAAGAAUAUAUCUGUAAUAUUUCUGAUUUUGGUAGAGAGACUACUUUUUCAUUACACUGCUGUAUUUGGCCAAUGAAUAUGGAAGUUCUGAAGGUCAAUAAUUUCAUUACCAAAUGUCAGAGCAAAAAAGUUAUUUUGAUAAAUGCAAUAGAACUUCAGACCAAGAGGUGAAGACUGCUUUUUUUUUAUUCCAAGCAAAGUUCUUCAGUUAAGCUUUGCAAUUUCUCUGCUAGUUUUCUUAGUAUCCGUGUAUCUGUCAGUGAAGCUUAGUGUAGGAUUUUGUUUUGUUUUUAUGAAAGGUUACACACCAUAAAACUUACUACUUUGGUAUAUAACAUGGAUCUUCCUGGGUUUUAUAUACAUAUGCCCGUUUUGGAGUUAUAUAAAACAAAUUAAGUAAAGAUUGAAGAUGUCUAGGUGGAACUGCGUGGCUUGUUAAAGUUGGCCAAAGCUUCCUUUUAUAGAAUCUUCCUUUAUUUGUAACUAAACCAAGCAUCCACUGUUUAGGUUCAACUUCCCCAUGUUAUAUGUCACCGUUGUAUUGAAAUUUUUGCAAAGCUGCAGCAGAAGUGGUUCAGCCAUUACAGGGAAUUGGGGAAAAACAGAAACAUUGGCUUCUCACACUUAUUUCAUAAAGAAGGUUCAGGGACUUGAUGGCUUGGAGAAAAGGGAUUUGAAAUAUUGUGGGGGUAUUUCUCUAAAUGUAGAAGUGUUUUUAAAUAGAUACAAAGAUAAAUAGAUGUAGGGUCGGAAGGGACCUUGUAGAUCUUCUAGUCCGACCCCCUGCCCUGGGCAGGAGAGAAAACAGGGCUCAAAUGACCUCAGCCAGGUAAAUGUCGAGCCUCCUAUUAAAACCCCCCAAAGUAGGAGCCAUCACCACUUCCCCUGGAAGUUGGUUCCAUAUCCUGUAAAGCAGGUGUAGGCCAAGUCCGGCACACCAAACCAUUCUAUCUGGGCUGCAGGGCACCUAAGAAGUUUCAAAAAUUAAUAUUAAUCUGGUUCUGGCUGCCUACCAAAGAUGACAGGAGUCAGGGGCAGUAGGACCCCAGGGGAGCCAGCAGGAGUCAGGAGAGAGGCCAGCUGGAUGGGACCCCUGACUACCUACCACAUCUCUUUGCAGCUGGUUUCCCUGCAGGCUGCUGCCUCCAGUACCAUGUGGCCUCCGGCUGCAUUGCUGGACUGUAGGAGCACAGGGCCAUGCCGGCACACAGAGCAUGUGUGGGGGGGGGCAAAACACACGCUCUGUGUGUGCGCAUGAGCGCACGCAUGCAGAGUGAGCAAAGCACAUAGUGAGUGUGAGUGUGUGUGUGUGUGUGUGUGUGUGUGUGUGCGCGCGUGCGCGCGCGCACCCGAGGUGAGAAAAGCACACUCUGUGCGUGCGUGCGGGGGUGG